rnacentral:miRNA from 1 species
UAUCUUUUAAUCGUUAGAUCA